rfam:Parcubacteria bacterium GW2011_GWB1_41_6 TT71_C0001, whole genome shotgun sequence.
AGCGGGGUGGACCAGUAGUAGGUCGGGAGGCUCAUAACCUCCAGGCGCCGGUGCAAGUCCGGCCCCCGCAA